UUUCUAAAUUGACUUCCAGGGGGAAAAAAUCAUUGCACACAACAGAUUAUUCAUGGUAUUAUUUACUCUAAAAUGUUAACAAUUCCAGAAAUAUCAGAGGAUAUAACUGCAGCAAAACAACCCAGCCUUAGCAUAAUAUUUAGUUGUUUCCCUCCUUUGUUACUAGGUAGCUAGAGCUUUUAGGGAGAAAUUUGUCAUUAAUAGCACAGCUCCAUCCUACACAAGAGUCUCUAGUUCUUUGCAAACAUGAACUUUUAAAAGGUAUUUUUAAAAGAUUAGCAUUUGAGCUUUGUUGUCUGUGGUUUUAGCUUAAUCUCACAAGGACAAAUUAAAUUUUUUUUCAGCAUCAAAGCAUCGUAAGACUUUGAUUUGUUUGUGUGAAGGAGAAGUCAUGUUGUUGAGGUACUGAAGCUUUAACUCCAGACUUAGUUGUGAUGUUUGGACUUAACUCUGUAUUUAAAUGAUCAUUAAGACACAUAUCUCCCCACUAUUGAAGGUGGUUGCCAAAGGUGUGCUGUUUCCCUUUUGUAGUGAUCCCUGUCUGUGAACUAAUUUUGAAGAGCUGUUGAGCACUCUGUGCUCUUUCCCUCCUGAGCUGGAGAAGCAAUCCAGUUGGAGGAAUUUCAUGUCAGCAUUGAAGCUCUGGGCAUACAAAUUAACGCAAGUGGAAAAUCUUGCUGAGUACUGACAGGAGAACCAGUUUCUCCUUUUCAUAUCUGGCAGUGCUGGGUGAGCAAUAAAGUCUUUUGUAAUUGUUGGUUGUAA